AAAUUAAUUAAUGUCAUCAUCACUCUGAAAUUGCAUCAUCGCCUAGUGUUUGUUUGCAACCAUGGAGGCUUCCACGUUCUUCAGAACCCUAAAACCUUUCAAUUUUAAGCUCACUUCAUCUAUUCGAUCCUCUUCCUUCUCUCCCACUCUUCACCCAGGGAGGUUGGUUAAGAGAGCCUAUGAUGCAUUGUUGUUGGACGCUGGUGGCACUCUUUUGCAAUUGCCGAAACCUGUCGAAGAGACUUACGCAUCAAUCGGCAGAAAAUACGGUUUGAGUGUGAAAUCAACUGAAAUAAAGCAAGGAUUUAAAAGAGCUUUCGCUGCUCCGUGGCCUGAAAAACUUCGCUACCAGGGAGAUGGAAAGCCAUUUUGGAAACUUCUUGUUUCUGAAGCCACAGGUUGUGAAGAUGAUGAUUAUUUUGAAGAAGUAUAUGAGUACUAUGCAAAAGGUGAUGCAUGGCAUCUUCCCCCUGGAGCCUAUGAAACAAUGUCAAUCCUGAAAGAUGCUGGAGUUAAAUUGGCUGUUGUAUCCAACUUUGACACACGAUUGAGGAAGGUGUUAAAGGAACUCAAUGUUGUCGAUCUGUUUGAUGCUGUGGUUAUAUCUUCAGAGGUUGGAUAUGAAAAACCAGAUGCACAAAUAUUUAAAGCUGCUUUAGAUCAGACCAAUAUAGAAGCUAGAAAAGCAGUACAUGUUGGAGAUGAUGACAAGGCUGACAAGGCAGGUGCCAAUGCAAUUGGUAUUGAUUGCUGGUUAUGGGGAAAAGAUGUUAAGACUUUCUCAGAUAUACAAAGCCGCAUCCUAAUUCCGGGGCCAUAGCUUUCAAGUACAUAAGUUUCACUCCCCGUAUCAUUGUUGGUGGUUGAAGCUGUUGCUUUGCCCUAUUCCUCUGGAUUGAGUGUUGAUGGGAGAAAAUAAUUAUUGUCAUUGAUUGGAUAACCAGUGAAGUUUCAGUGACUAUUUUGAAUAUGGGAUUUUUUUUCACCCUUUGCACUCAGUUUUCAAUUAUGCUACUGAGAAUGGAUUAAAAUAUACUCCAAGAAAUAUACAGCCAGACCUUUGUGGAUUAAAAUGUCCAAAUAACUUGGUGACAAGUACAUAAAAGUUUCUCUGUUUCUCAUUUACUUGGUCAUAUGUUCAAUAAUGUUACAUCAUAUGAUUGUCUAAAUAUCAAAUUUAGCUACCAUCUACUCAUGAUCAUCAUAAUUUUCCAGUAAAUUUUGAUGAAAACUAGCUCCUUCAACUGGUUUGGAGAAGAAUCAGUUUGAUUGGAUAUCAAAAUAUAACGAGAUGUGUUAUUAUAUUUGAUUCAGUGAGUAAUGUCUUAUGAAGAGCUAUUGUUUGUUUUGUACUUUCCUAUGAAUGUAAGGCUGAAUUAUAAUUGAUUUUGAUAUA